GAUGAACGCUGGCGGCGUGCUUAACACAUGCAAGUCGAACGGGAAACCUUUUAUUGAAGCUUCGGCGGCUUUAGCUGGUUUCUAGUGGCGGACGGGUGAGUAACGCGUGGGUAACCUGCCUUAUACAGGGGGAUAACAACCAGAAAUGGUUGCUAAUACCGCAUAAGCGCACAGGACCGCAUGGUCCGGUGUGAAAAACUCCGGUGGUAUAAGAGGGACCCGCGUUGGAUUAGCUAGUUGGCAGGGUAACGGCCUACCAAGGCGACGAUCCAUAGCCGGCCUGAGAGGGUGAACCGCCACAUUGAGGCGGGGACACGGCCCAGAAUCCUACGGGAGGCAGCAGUGGGGAAUAUUGCACAAUCGGGGAAACCCUGAUGGAGCGACGCCGCGUGAAGGAAGAAGUAUCUCAGUAUGUAAACUUCUAUAAGCAGGGAAGAUAGUGACGGUACCUGACGAAGAAGCCCCGGCUAACUACGUG
rnacentral:rRNA from 1 species